GAUGAAGAACGUAGCGGAAUGCGAUAAGUAAUGUGAAUUGCAGAAUUCAGUGAAUCAUCGAAUCUUUGAACGCACAUUGCGCCCCCUGGUAUUCCGGGGGGUAUGCCUGUUCGAGCGUCAUUUCACCACUCAAGCCUCGCUUGGUAUUGGGCAACGCGGUCCGCCGCGUGCCUCAAAUCGACCGGCUGGGUCUUCUGUCCCCUAAGCGUUGUGGAAACUAUUCGCUAAAGGGUGCUCGGGAGGCUACGCCGUAAAACAAACCCAUUUCUAAGGUUGACCUCGGAUCAGGUAGGGAUACCCGCUGAACUUAAGCAUAUCAAUAAGCGGAGGA
rnacentral:misc_RNA from 1 species